rnacentral:rRNA from 1 species
CAAUAGCGUAUAUUUAAGUUGUUGCAGUUAAAAAGCUCGUAGUUGGAUUUCGGGUGGGACGCAGCGGUCUCGCAUUGCGUUUGUACUGCUGCAGCCCUCCUUCUUGCCGGGGGCGGCCUCUCGGACUUCACUGUCUGGGGGUCAGAAUCGGCGAUGUUACUUUGAGUAAAUUAGAGUGUUCAAAGCAAGCUUACGCUCUGAAUAUAAUAGCAUGGGAUAACACGACAGGACUCUGGCCUAUCGUGUUGGUCUAUAGGACCAGAGUAAUGAUUAAGAGGGACAGUCGGGGGCAUUCGUAUUCCGCUGUCAGAGGUGAAAUUCUUGGAUUUACGGAAGACGAACAUCUGCGAAAGCAUUUGCCAAGGAUGUUUUCAUUGA